rnacentral:tRNA from 1 species
GGAUUGUGGCUCAGUGGUAGGGCUCUCUCCUAGCACGGGUGAGACCUGGGUUGGAUCUUCAGCACCA